rnacentral:lncRNA from 1 species
AGUGGCAGCAACACCUGUGCAUGGUGGCCUGAGCCCAGGCAAUACAGAGGUGGUGGGUCUCAGAGUAUCUGGUCUUGGAUUAAAGGCCACAGCCCCAUGGCCCACCUUUAAUCAAAGGUGAGGCAGGAGCACUGAGAAGGCCACUCUGUGUGGCCCACCGUCCACCUUCAGCUUCACCCACUUCAUCUGGUUUCACUGGAGCAUCAUUCAAGCUAUCCCCAAUAGCCCAGGAGGACCCAGAGGGAGGGGCUGCACCUGUCACUGUUUUUGUUUGUGCUCAUUGCAUAUUUAUUCACGUUCAUGAUAAAAUAAGUGGUUCCCUGCAUUGGCAAGCAAAGCACCCAGACUAUCAGUGACUUUUUCACUGCCAGCGCCGUCACUGUGAACUCUGAGGGUGGCUGUAGAGCAGCCUCCAGGCUAUUGAACGAGUUUUCCUGACCAUCCUGUGGUUCUUCUGUGUCUUUCUUUGCUGGAGAUUGCCCCUCUCCUUGGUGUUGGGUUUUAGCAGUACUGCCCAUUCCCCAAAUUAUCAUCUGCUCUCUGGUGACUGAGUAAUCACCGCAUUAACACAAGACAUUUAUUUAUUUCUAAAUUCAGCAAGUGCCUAACACAUAGUAGGUGUUCAAUUCAUCAUGUUUGCUCUUUCAUUCAGUCAUGGAGCCUAAGGAAAGGGCCCAGGCCAGGCACAGUGGCUCAUGCCUGUCAUUGCAGCACUUUGGGAGGCCAAGGCAGGAGGGUUGCUUGAGUCCAGGAGUUCGAGAUCAGCCUGGGCAACAUAGUGAGAUCUCAUCUCUUUAAUUUCCUCUAAUGUCAAGCAGGCAUGAUGGGCAGGUCUGACGAAGAUAACACAUACACAGCAGGUAACAUUGGGCUAAGUCCUCUGCCUUCUUCCUGGGUGCGCUGCCCAUCUCCAUCAAGCUCAACUGCUUCACUGAUGGCAGAGAGACGCUGCUGGGGAGGGCAGAAGGGUGGGGCCCUAUCAUUCUUGGGGAUCCAGAAGCAUAAAACCAGCUUCCAUCCCAUCAGGCGCCUCUGGGCCGGGGCGGGAAGGGAGCCAGGCUCCCCUGAGGCUGAUGAAAUGCGUCUGUUGGGGACCUGUUGGGAAAUCCUGAAACUGGGAGGAAGGAACAGCCCUGCGGGGUCGGAGGCUACUUGAGCAAGUCCCCAGCAGUUGCUCCAUUCGCCACACGGGGUGAUGAUGCCCAGGGUGGGGUAUUUCACCAGGUUCUUAGAAAGCUGCCUCUGUACACCCAUGUCUACUCAGGGCUUUGUUUAAUCACUGUCUUUUCCACUUCCAGAUUUCUGAGGACAAAUAGGGAGAGGGUGAUGUGGUGAAAUGAUCAUUAUUAGCCAACUUGCCCUGAAUGCUUACUGCGUGCCACGCACUGUGCUACGUAUGCAUCUUACACCUGUGAUCUCACACAAUCCACACAGCAACCCCCGGGGCAGAGACUAAGCUUCCCACACUUGCCGAUGAAGAAACUGAGGCCCAGACAGGUUAAACAUUUUGCCCACAGCCACACAGCUUAUAAAUGGUAAAGCCAUGAUUGGAACCCCCACUGUGUGAUUUGAGGACUCUUAACUCCACCUCAGAACUGCUUCCCAUGAGUGGGAGGAAACUGGGCUUUGAAAUCAGGUUGCUCUGGGGUGAAUCUCAGCAACGCUAUGGACCCACCGCUGUCCUCAGCAGGCCCCUUCUCCUCUCUGGCCCUCAGUUUCCCCAUCUGUAGAAGAAGUGGUUUAGAAUCGGUCACUGGUUCUCAAAUUCUGUUCUUUUUUAAAAACUAGAAUGUAGGCCAGGUGCAGUGGCUCAUGCCUGUAAUCCCAGCAGUUUGGGAGGCUGAGGUGGGUGGAUCACUUGAGGCCAGGAGUUCAAGACCAGCUUAGGCAACAUAGUGAGACCCUCGUCUCCACAAAAUAGAAAAAAAAUUAGCCGGUGUGGUGGUGCAUGCCUGUAGUCCCAGCUAUUCAGGAGGCUGAAGUGGGAGGAUUACUUCAGCCUGGGAAGUCAAGGCUGCAAUGAGACGUGAUUGUGCCACUGCACUCUAGCCUAGGAGACAGAGUGAGACCCUGUAUCAAAUACAUAACUAAAAACUAGAAUGCUUCAAGCAAAGAGUGACUGCAGACGGGCAUGAGAGAACUUUGUAGGGUGCUGGAAAUGUUCUGAAACUGAAUUGUGGUGAUGGUUGCACAACUCCAUAUAUUUUCUAAAAAAAUCCUUGAGUUGUACACUUACAAUGGGUGAAUUUUAUGGUAUGUAAAUUAUACCUCAAUAAAGCUGUAAAAAAAAAA